CUCCGAUCUUCCAGGUCCUCUCUGAUCUGCUGGAAAAGCCCCGAGGAAACUGCUAAUGGAUACCCGACGAGCGGUUCUUCAGUUAUGGAGGUCCCACCUGCGUCCUGUGUUUUCCUUUGCUGAAUCUGGCAGCCCUACAGGGACCACAUGCACCUCCACACUGGCCUCCCAGCUACCCUGGCCCCAGGUCUCGGCCCCAUGUGGGGACCAGAGACGCCUGGUGGAAACCCAGUGGCUUCACAUCUCUCCUGGGCUCCUCCUACCACUUGGAGGCCUCGGUGACCUGCGUCGUGUGCACUGUCAACCCACCUCCAACC
ensembl:lncRNA